rnacentral:sRNA from 1 species
CCCUCCCCACCCUGAGGUGGGGGCCCACCAGGAUGAGCAAGCUGCCUAGGGAGCUGACCCGAGACUUGGAGCGCAGCCUGCCUGCCGUGGCCUCCCUGGGCUCCUCACUGUCCCACAGCCAGAGCCUCUCCUCGCACCUCCUUCCGCCGCCUGAGAAGCGAAGGGCCAUCUCUGAUGUCCGCCGCACCUUCUGUCUCUUCGUCACCUUCGACCUGCUCUUCAUCUCCCUGCUCUGGAUCAUCGAACUGAAUCCUCCCCUCCAGGUUCCUCCAUCCCCUACCUCUUGCCCCUUCCGGGAGGUGAGGGGCAGCCCCAGGCCCUUGCUUCUACCUGCAGAGCUCUUCCUGUCUCCCUCUCACAGACCAACACAGGCAUCCGUAAGAACUUGGAGCAGGAGAUCAUCCAGUACAACUUUAAAACUUCCUUCUUCGACAUCUUCGUCCUGGCCUUCUUCCGCUUCUCUGGACUGCUCCUAGGCUAUGCCAUGCUGCGGCUCCGGCACUGGUGGGUGAUUGCGCCUCUGCCUUCCCCUUCCUCCCUCCCUCCCCUGGGCAGGUCACGACGCUGGUGUCCAGUGCAUUCCU